AGUGAACGCUGGCGGUAGGCCUAACACAUGCAAGUCGAACGGCAGCACAGUAAGAGCUUGCUCUUACGGGUGGCGAGUGGCGGACGGGUGAGGAAUACAUCGGAAUCUACUUUUUCGUGGGGGAUAACGUAGGGAAACUUACGCUAAUACCGCAUACGACCUACGGGUGAAAGCAGGGGAUCUUCGGACCUUGCGCGAUUGAAUGAGCCGAUGUCGGAUUAGCUAGUUGGCGGGGGAAAGGCCCACCAAGGCGACGAUCCGUAGCUGGUCUGAGAGGAUGAUCAGCCACACUGGAACGGAGACACGGUCCAGACUCCUACGGGAGGCAGCAGUGGGGAAUAUUGGACAAUGGGCGCAAGCCUGAUCCAGCCAUACCGCGUGGGUGAAGAAGGCCUUCGGGUUGUAAAGCCCUUUUGUUGGGAAAGAAAAGCAGCAGGUUAAUACCCCGCUGUUCUGACGGUACCCAAAGAAUAAGCACCGGCUAACUUCGUG
rnacentral:rRNA from 1 species